GUGGGGAAUAUUGGACAAUGGGCGAAAGCCUGAUCCAGCCAUGCCGCGUGUGUGAAGAAGGUCUUCGGAUUGUAAAGCACUUUAAGUUGGGAGGAAGGGCAGUAAGUUAAUACCUUGCUGUUUUGACGUUACCGACAGAAUAAGCACCGGCUAACUUCGUGCCAGCAGCCGCGGUAAUACGAAGGGUGCAAGCGUUAAUCGGAAUUACUGGGCGUAAAGCGCGCGUAGGUGGUUUUGUAAGUUGGAGGUGAAAUCCCCGGGCUCAACCUGGGAACUGCCUCCAAAACUGCAUGGCUAGAGUACGGUAGAGGGUAGUGGAAUUUCCUGUGUAGCGGUGAAAUGCGUAGAUAUAGGAAGGAACACCAGUGGCGAAGGCGACCACCUGGACUGAUACUGACACUGAGGUGCGAAAGCGUGGGGAGCAAACAGGAUUAGAAACCCGGGUAGUCC
rnacentral:rRNA from 1 species